UUUCACUGAAACAAGGGGAAAGCUCAAAUGGGGCAUUGGCCCCGAGGCAGCAGUAAAGAAUUUUGUGCAAUAUACGAAGGUAAGACACAGAGAGGGCCCCUUGCCUAGUCCGUCAAAUUAAGUGCCAGCAGACGCGGUGAAACUUAAGGGCUAGUUUUGUGGGCAAAAGCGUAAAGGGUGUGAUAGGCUGUUUUAAUUAAAAAGGGGCUUAUAAUGUUAGAAGGUAAAUGGAAUUUUUUUGUAACGGUGGAAUGUGCAAAUAGAAAAAAGAACUUUAGAUGUGAAGACUAUUUAUUUUUGAGAUUAUAUUGUGAUGGCUAAAACACGAGAGUAUGGGGAGCAAACAGGAUUAGGGACCCUGGUAGUCUAUAUUGUAAAUCAUGAAAAAGAUGUAAAGCAAUCCUAAAAAGUCAGAAGUUUUCCGCUUGAGUAGUACGACCGCAAGGUUUAAAUUCAAAAAACUUGGCUGUUCACUGUUUUAAUUAGAGGAGCGUGUCGUUUAAUUCGAUAGUCCGCGAGAGACCUUACCCAAACUUGAAUCCCUUAUUGACAGGUAUUGCAUGGCCGUCGUCAAUUUGUGUAUUAAACAUAAAACAGAUUUAACCCAGUGGUUUGGCUAUUGGAUGAAGUCAGGUCUUAUUGUCCUAAUGUUUGGGGAUUAGAUGCGCUACAUUUUUUUAUACAAUAGGAAACUUUGAGUGUGAAGCCUGAAAAUAAAAGUUCGGAAAGUGCCUGGAAGAUAACGGAAAGUUGUAUUUAAUAGUAAUUGAAAAGUAGAGCGUUUCAAUGAAAUGUUUUCAGUGUUAGUACAAAUUGCCCGUCGCCUUUGCUUAGAAAGAUUGGUUGAUUGCCCCUCAAGAGGGUUUCUAAUAUCUUCGAGGCAGAGUAAGUCGUAACA
rnacentral:rRNA from 1 species